rnacentral:rRNA from 1 species
UACAGAGGGUGCAAGCGUUGUUCGGAAUUAUUGGGCGUAAAGCGUGCGCAGGCGGUUCGUUAUGUCCGAUGUGAAAGCCCCGAGCUUAACUUGGGAAUGGCAUUGGAAACUGGCGGGCUGGAGUGCGGCAGAGGGGGGUGGAAUUCCACGUGUAGCAGUGAAAUGCGUAGAGAUGUGGAGGAACACCGAUGGCGAAGGCAGCCCCCUGGGCCGACACUGACGCCUCAGGCACGAAAGCGUGGGGAGCAAACAGG